UACGUAGGUGGCAAGCGUUGUCCGGAUUUACUGGGCGUAAAGAGCGCGCAGGCGGUCGUUCAAGUCGCGUGUGAAAGCCCCCGGCUCAACUGGGGAGGGUCACGCGAUACUGAUCGACUCGAAGGCAGGAGAGGGUAGUGGAAUUCCCGGUGUAGUGGUGAAAUGCGUAGAUAUCGGGAGGAACACCAGUGGCGAAGGCGACUACCUGGCCUGUUUCUUGACGCUGAGGCGCGAAAGCUAGGGGAGCAA
rnacentral:rRNA from 1 species